AGAGUUUGAUCCUGGCUCAGAAUCAACGCUGGCGGCGUGCCUAACACAUGCAAGUCGAACGAGAAAGCGGGGGCAACUCCGUGAGUAAAGUGGCGACCGGGUGAGUAACACGUAGCUAACCUACCCUCGAGUGGGGGAUAACCUGGGGAAACCUGGGCUAAUACCGCAUAAUAUCCUUUGGGAGCAAAGGCCCGCAAGGG
rnacentral:rRNA from 1 species